rnacentral:pre_miRNA from 9 species
UCUCGAUAACGUGAAAGUUAGUAAAAUUUGUAUGGAGUUGGAACGUUUGCAUAUGUUUGCCGCUAGGAGCACUGUUCCAGCUGCAUACAAAUUUCCGGUAAAUUUUAUGCUAUCGA